rnacentral:rRNA from 1 species
UACAGAGGGUGCAAGCGUUGUUCGGAAUUACUGGGCGUAAAGCGCGUGUAGGCGGUCAUGUAAGUCGGUUGUGAAAGCCCUCAGCUUAACUGAGGAAGUGCAACCGAUACUGUGUGACUAGAGUACUGGAGGGGAUGGCGGAAUUCCUGGUGUAGAGGUGAAAUUCGUAGAUAUCAGGAGGAACACCUGUGGCGAAGGCGGCCAUCUGGACAGUAACUGACGCUGAGACGCGAAAGCGUGGGUAGCAAACAGG